rnacentral:rRNA from 1 species
AAAACAUUGCCUCACGAAAACAAAAAUGAGAGGUCCAUCCUGCCCGGUGACCUACGGGUUAAACGGCCGCGGUACCCUGACCGUGCUAAGGUAGCGUGAUAAUUCGCCCUUUAAUUGUGGGCUUGUAUGAAAGGACAAACGAGAGUUCAACUGUCUCCCUGGUAAAACAGGAAACUGUCAUUCAGGUGAAGAGACCUGAAUUUAAAUAAAGGACAAAAAGACCCCAUAGAGCUUUGUUAGAUAUUGAUUAACUAUAAAAUACUUCUAUAUUUAUAGCUAACCAAAAACUAACUUAACUGGGGCGGUUAAGGAAAACCCAAAGCUUCCGUCUAUAGUUCUAGUAUGCACACCAAGGCAAAACAAGCCAAACCUAUAAAUGACCCUUAUUCAAAGAUCAAAGGAUUAGCUACCUUGGGGAUAACAGAUUCAUCCCCCUUGAGAGUCCGCAUUGACAGGGGGGCUUGACACCUCGAUGUUGGCUUAGGGUAACCUGAGGGUCUAGCAGCAGCCCUCAACGGUAGGUUUGUUCAACCUUUAAAACCCUACGUGAUCUGAGUUCAGACCGGA